rnacentral:rRNA from 1 species
AGUACGGCGAGUGAAGCGGUAAAAGCUCAAAUUUGAAAUCUGGUACUUUCAGUGCCCGAGUUGUAAUUUGUAGAAUUUGUCUUUGAUUAGGUCCUUGUCUAUGUUCCUUGGAACAGGACGUCAUAGAGGGUGAGAAUCCCGUUUGGCGAGGAUACCUUUUCUCUGUAAGACUUUUUCGAAGAGUCGAGUUGUUUGGGAAUGCAGCUCAAAGUGGGUGGUAAAUUCCAUCUAAAGCUAAAUAUUGGCGAGAGACCGAUAGCGAACAAGUACAGUGAUGGAAAGAUGAAAAGAACUUUGAAAAGAGAGUGAAAAAGUACGUGAAAUUGUUGAAAGGGAAGGGCAUUUGAUCAGACAUGGUGUUUUUUGCAUGCACUCGCCUCUCGUGGGCUUGGGCCUCUCAAAAAUUUCACUGGGCCAACAUCAAUUCUGGCAGUAGGAUAAAUCAUUAAGAAUGUAGCUACCUCGGUAGUGUUAUAGCUUAUUGGAAUACUGCUAGCUGGGAUUGAGGACUGCGCUUCGGCAAGGAUGUUGGCAUAAUGGUUAAAUGCCGCCCGUCUUGAACCACGGACCAAAA